ACGACAUUUUUCGGUUGGAAAUAUUGAUCUAAACCGAUUUACUUUAAUUAAAUAUGUUUAACUCCGUAGAAAUUCUCAAUAAAACUUCAUUAUUAUAUUUCGUUAUUUUCAUAAAUUAUUUAAACAGGGUGUUUAUAAUAAUACUACCUAAAAUCAAAUCUAUACAGCAGUAACCGACCCAUAUAUAUCAGUUAUUUUCUAAUACCCUUUUAAUUGGUGUGUUUUAAAAGACCGUGUCUACACAUCAUUUUCGUUUUGGGAAAACUUCUACAGUAAAGUUAUUGUCGUCCUAUAUAUCAUUGUUAUUAUUAUCGUACGUCACAUAAUAUAAUAAAUUACAUUUUAAACAAUUCCUUCAUACAGAAAUCAUAUGCAUUACUACUAAAAUGUUCAAAGGGUUUACGACGACGUUUAUAAUUGCUUU